rnacentral:rRNA from 1 species
AACGAACGCUGGCGGCAUGCCUAACACAUGCAAGUCGAACGAGACCUUCGGGUCUAGUGGCGCACGGGUGCGUAACGCGUGGGAACCUGCCCUUAGGUUCGGAAUAACUCCCCGAAAGGGGUGCUAAUACCGGAUAAUGUCUUCGGACCAAAGAUUUAUCGCCUUUGGAUGGGCCCGCGUUGGAUUAGCUAGUUGGUAGGGUAAAAGCCUACCAAGGCGACGAUCCAUAGCUGGUCUGAGAGGAUGAUCAGCCACACUGGGACUGAGACACGGCCCAGACUCCUACGGGAGGCAGCAGUGGGGAAUAUUGGACAAUGGGCGAAAGCCUGAUCCAGCACUGCCGCGUGAGUGAUGAAGGCCUUAGGGUUGUAAAGCUCUUUUACCCGGGCUGAUAAUGACAGUACCGGGAGAAUAAGCUCCGGCUAACUCCGUG